rnacentral:rRNA from 1 species
UUCCUACGGGAGGCAGCAGUGGGGAAUAUUGGACAAUGGGGGCAACCCUGAUCCAGCCAUGCCGCGUGUGUGAAGAAGGCCUUUUGGUUGUAAAGCACUUUAAGCAGUGAAGAAGACUCUAUGGUUAAUACCCAUAGACGAUGACAUUAGCUGCAGAAUAAGCACCGGCUAACUCUGUGCCAGCAGCCGCGGUAAUACAGAGGGUGCAAGCGUUAAUCGGAAUUACUGGGCGUAAAGCGAGCGUAGGUGGCUUAAUAAGUCAGAUGUGAAAUCCCCGGGCUUAACCUGGGAACUGCAUCUGAUACUGUUGGGCUAGAGUAGGUGAGAGGGAGGUAGAAUUUCAGGUGUAGCGGUGAAAUGCGUAGAGAUCUGAAGGAAUACCGAUGGCGAAGGCAGCCUCCUGGCAUCAUACUGACACUGAGGUUCGAAAGCGUGGGUAGCAAACAGGAUUAGAUACCCUGGUAGUCCACGCCGUAAACGAUGUCUACUAGUCGUUGGGGAACUUGAUUCCUUAGUGACGCAGCUAACGCAAUAAGUAGACCGCCUGGGGAGUACGGCCGCAAGGUUAAAACUCAAAGGAAUUGACGGAA